AGUACAUGUACUUACUAAAUGUAGUAAUGAAAAGGCAGAAGAAAUAAAAAUUACUGUGCAAAAGUUAAAGCUAGGCACGUGGGUGGUUGGAGAUAAACUUGAAAAUUUUGAAAACCGUUGACUCAUUUAAUGACUUCAGUAUUCACGUGGGGAGUGGGACUCUACUCACUCUGGUGUACAAAACACAUACGGCCAUUGGCCUUCAAAACUAGAAAUACCAAAGAAAAGAGAAGCGGAAAAGUAGAAGAAAAACAGAGAACGGAGAAGAAAAGGCGAGGAAGAAGAAACUGCGGUUGACCAAAUGGAAGUGGCCGGAGACAUGGAAGUGACCGGCGAUGUGGUGAAAAGCUAAGGAUUCCAACAACUACUUGAGAGCAAGAGAGAGAGAGGUUUACACAGUACACACAAUUCUUUUUAGGACUGGGUAGGUAGAGAAAAACUAGGGAGGUAGAAGGUGAUGGAGCUGAACCAAAGUGAGGGGAUAGUCAAAGCCAAGAGGCCUAUGACAAAGCCAGAGAAGGUGGGGGAGAUGAACUCUGAUGAUCAGAAGGCGAUACGAGCCAAGACAGAGUCAAGGUUCACACCAAAGAGGGGGAGUACUGUAAUUCCAGCAAAGAGGAGGUUAGUUAAAACAAUGAUGCUUGAUUCGAUUGUCAAAUCUAUUGCGUCUCUUCUCCGUUCUCUUUGUUCCUCUGCCUCUAAAGCCCCCAAGGCCGCCCUAUCUGAAAAGUCCAGCGGCAGCUCAAAGUUGGUGCCACUUCCACCUCUCAAUUCAUCAAAUAGCAAGUUACAAGAGUAACAUAUUUCCAAAUAUAAUGUAGCACUGGUCUUCUGAAACGAUUUCAAGCCUCUUUUGAUCUUUUCUUUGUCCUCCGCUCCUCCUUUUGGUGGUAAUUAAACGAUGUCAUGUACGGUGCAUUUCAAACAUUUAGUAUUAUAAUAUUUAUCAACUUCAAUUAUAUUA